rnacentral:piRNA from 1 species
CAAUGAGACUGGCGACGAGCCCUU